GACGAACCGUCCGAACGUUAUUCGGAAUCACUGGGCUUAAAGGGUGCGUAGGCGGCGCGGAAAGUUGGGUGUGAAAUCCCUCGGCUCAACCGAGGAACUGCGCCCAAAACUACCGUGCUCGAGGAAGAUAGAGGUGAGCGGAACUUAGGGUGGAGCGGUGAAAUGCGUUGAUAUCCUAAGGAACACCGGUGGCGAAAGCGGCUCACUGGAUCUUUUCUGACGCUGAGGCACGAAAGCUAGGGUAGCGAACGGG
rnacentral:rRNA from 1 species